rnacentral:rRNA from 1 species
CCUACGGGAGGCAGCAGUGAGGAAUAUUGGUCAAUGGGAGAGAUCCUGAACCAGCCAAGCCGCGUGAGGGAAGACGGCCCUAUGGGUUGUAAACCUCUUUUGUCAGGGAGCAACGCCGGCUACGUGUAGCCGGACUGAGAGUACCUGAAGAAAAAGCAUCGGCUAACUCCGUGCCAGCAGCCGCGGUAAUACGGAGGAUGCGAGCGUUAUCCGGAUUUAUUGGGUUUAAAGGGUGCGCAGGCGGACCAUCAAGUCAGCGGUAAAAUCGUGGGGCCCAACCCCAUCCCGCCGUUGAAACUGGCGGG